rnacentral:rRNA from 1 species
UACGAAGGGGGCUAGCGUUGCUCGGAAUCACUGGGCGUAAAGCGCACGUAGGCGGCUUGUUAAGUCAGGGGUGAAAUCCUGGAGCUCAACUCCAGAACUGCCUUUGAUACUGAGGAUCUUGAGUUCGGGAGAGGUGAGUGGAGCUGCGAGUGUAGAGGUGAAAUUCGUAGAUAUUCGCAAGAACACCAGUGGCGAAGGCGGCUCACUGGCCCGAUACUGACGCUGAGGCACGAAAGCGUGGGGAGCAAACAGG